CUACGGGAGGCAGCAGUGGGGAAUAUUGGACAAUGGGGGCAACCCUGAUCCAGCCAUGCCGCGUGAGUGAUGAAGGCCUUAGGGUUGUAAAGCUCUUUCACCCGUGACGAUGAUGACGGUAGCGGGAGAAGAAGCCCCGGCUAACUCCGUGCCAGCAGCCGCGGUAAUACGGAGGGGGCAAGCGUUGUUCGGAAUUACUGGGCGUAAAGGGCGCGUAGGCGGCCCGUCGCGUCAGAUGUGAAAUCCCCGGGCUCAACCUGGGAACUGCAUUUGAUACGGGCGGGCUAGAAUCCGGGAGAGGAUGGUGGAAUUCCCAGUGUAGAGGUGAAAUUCGUAGAUAUUGGGAAGAACACCGAUGGCGAAGGCAGCCAUCUGGACCGGUAUUGACGCUGAGGCGCGAAAGCGUGGGGAGCAAACAGGAUUAGAAACCCUAGUAGUCC
rnacentral:rRNA from 1 species